AUAUGAUUAAUUCCUUUUCAGAAACACAUGAAGAAGCACACUCGGUCUAGGUUAAUUACGAGGGUACUCUCCUAGAACGUACUCUCAGAACCCACCAGGCCAGCAGGCAACAGGAAAAACCAACAAGAACAACCAGAAACAACCUUUGCCAACAGAAAGUGGGCAAAAUAAGGUAAUCAGUGAGCACAGCUUAAACCAGCCAAGUCCAAACACACUCAAGGAGAGAUCUCCUGCACGGCAGUGGAGCUGCCUUGUCAUGUUCUUUGACGGCAACUUCAGCAAUAAACUGGAUUUCCACCAGCCUGCGUCCCGGGUUUGAGGGGUCCAGAAAAGUUGCAGGUAUGUAGCAUGGACAAUAUUGUUACAAUAUGAAAAUAAAUAUAUAUAUACAGUAGGCUAUAUAAAAAUAACAAAGAUUAACAGGAACAGUGCGCAUGCUAAUCCAGAGUGGCGCAGAAAGUUAAAGAAACAUCUGUUGUUGUUUCGAGGACAACUCAGCAAAGGCAAAUAGCACUAGUUAUAUUCGGCUAUUAAGUAACAUGUACACAUCCCAGCAAAAUAAUAACACUUCUUAGACUCAUGUGAUGAAUUCUAGGGAGCAACACCAAGGCCCAUGGAUAGGACAUGGCGGUUGGUCAAUAGAGGGCGCUAGGGCGCCGUACCUCCGUUAAAUAUUCACUUGAAUAUAUCUGCCAGCGACGAAAUAAAUCAACAAAAAUACAUAGCGUUUAUCCUCGUUUAAUUAUGUGGUAUACUUGUCAUUGCCAGUCAGAGGCGCCGGCCACGUUGAAUUCAAUGUAAGUACUUUUUGCUGUCUAUCAAGCGGAGACAACUUUUCAAUCAAAUAGGAUUCCUCCCUCAGCAGCAUUCACGCAACACAACUAGAGAACAGAUAGAUCGCUAACUAGCAGAGGGUUGUAAGCACUUUCCCCCCUUUUCAGUGGGGGAAUUGGACUCCCCAAGCAAUGUUAUACUUAAAAGGAGCAAGUAAGUUACAUAUUAAUCCAGUCUUUCGGCCUGUGGCAUAUAAGCAACUGUCCCAUAUUUCUAACUGCAUUUGAAGUAGACAUUGAUGCCCACAAAAAAUGUAACAUUAUUUGGGUAUAUGAUAUUUCUACUCAAUGAAUACUUUCACUCGUAUCAUCCGUGCAUUUAACUCCACCACGAGAAAGCCUGAGAAACCGUCCUGCUGCUUGUGGAACUUCCACUGGAACUUCCCCUCCGUGUCGUCACCGCUGAAAGUGGUGCUGCUGAGCGGCGGGCGAGCGCAAGUUAUUACAUCUCCUACGCUCCGGGGACAGCGGUCCACACUUAACGUACUUCCUGAGAUUAACAAAGAAGACGCAGAAGCUCAUGAUACGUUUGGUCAUUCGCGCAAAGAACGCAAUAGCUCAGGGAUCUAUCUCAAAGAUCGUCGCCAUCCAUAUCGCUGGUGUGGAUUCGAAAGCACUGCUUGGCUGGAAGUCAUGGAGUGGUCCUUCGUGAAGUUGUAUCUCAUCGGAUGGGCGUUGAGCGCCUUCACGGUCUUCUUCUCCUUGAUGGACUCCUUCGGUGGACUCAUGUACGGCCAGGAUGACCUUAGGGUGUGGGCCCAGGACCACCAGAGACCACUCACCGCCCCCAGCAGUAGGACAGGACCGACAGGAGCGAAAGACGAGGACUCGUCGUAAAUGGGAGACCUACACAUGGAGGGAAUUGUAUAGCCGAUGAAGAGCAGGUGUCAGAUGGCGCAUUUGUGUCACACACUAACCCACUGUCCUUAUUCUUUAAAGAAACACAUUGUUUCUUGCACUAAGUCUGUUACUUGUAUAUAUGUAUUACCUUAAUGUAUGGAUCAGAAUGACCAAGUCCAAGGCUUAGGUGCUGUAAAUGUAAAAAUACUGUGUGUGUUAAGUCGUAUUAUUUAAAUAUUUAUUAUAUUCUGAUAAAUGUGUGAAACACUGUAAUGGGUCUAAGUAAUGGGUCACUGUAAUGGGUUAAAGUCAAACACUGUUUGACUUGCAACCCUAUCCAAGAAUCAGUUUUCUAUACCCAACAAAGGUUGUCAAAGUCUAAUAAGACUAUAAGGCAAAUGUGGCUCACUUUCCUUAUUGUUGAUAUUUUACAUAUUAAAGUUGUAUAACAACCUACAAGUGUGUUGAUGUCUCAUAAUCACUGAUUUAUUGUAAAUGUAUUGUCUAUAAUAUGGAAAGUUUUGUUAUAACAAGUUCUGAUUCCCUGGAUGUCGACAGAAACACGUGUGUACGGCAUGUGUACGUGUGUAUGUACGUGUGCGUGUACUGCUUCUAGAGGAAACCUCUGGACUCCUCUACACUUCUGCUCUCCUCUGCCGCGGCCUCUCCUUUCCUAGGGCCCUAUGAAAUCCGCGAUAACGAAAACGCGGACGGAAUCACGGAAUUGGACAAUAAAAACGGAAUCAACUGAUUUUUUUUUUUUUAUUAUUUUAUUAAGCAGGAAAGUAUUAAAAGUAACAAAGUUACAAUUUAAAACGGGCCUGUCUUAGUAAAAUAACUGAUUUCCAGCAGGUUCCUGUUCUUCAGCACAUAUAACAUGCAACAGGGACAAGGCACAUCAGACGUCACAUUUAC
ensembl:lncRNA